AGAGAAACAUUGGAAUCACAGUGGAUCGUGAUAAUUUCUGAGCCGAGCUAGAAGCACACGGCUUGCAGAACACUGGAUACAAACAGAACAUACUCUGUGCAGCGGGCAAUUCAACAUUAAAAGCAAACUUUGCCCAAACAGAUCCUCAGCUACUGAGAUGAGAGCUCAUCUGCAUUUGUCUGUGAGGCUUCAGCGAUGCAACUCUCUAAAUCAGGUGGAGGAUUUCUGCGCACAACUAAAGAGUCAUAUGUGCUCACCGACUCUGGACUCGGAAGGAGUUUGGAAAUCACGUCCUGCAGCGGCACACACAAAGAGGAGGCAGCUCUCCGCAUCAGCCCCCUCCGUUCCCCCCUCCAUGGUCUCUCUUCAAAACUACCUCACAAGAGCUAUCUGCAUAAUUGCUUAAAGAUUUUACCGCAAAAUUAA
rnacentral:lncRNA from 1 species